rnacentral:rRNA from 1 species
GAUGAACGCUGGCGGCGUGCUUAACACAUGCAAGUCGAACGAAGCACUUUAUUUGAUUUCCUUCGGGACUGAUUAUUUUGUGACUGAGUGGCGGACGGGUGAGUAACGCGUGGGUAACCUGCCUUGUACAGGGGGAUAACAGUUGGAAACGGCUGCUAAUACCGCAUAAGCGCACAGCAUCGCAUGAUGCAGUGUGAAAAACUCCGGUGGUAUAAGAUGGACCCGCGUUGGAUUAGCUAGUUGGUGAGGUAACGGCCCACCAAGGCGACGAUCCAUAGCCGACAUGAGAGGGUGACCGGCCACAUUGGGACUGAGACACGGCCCAAACUCCUACGGGAGGCAGCAGUGGGGAAUAUUGCACAAUGGGCGAAAGCCUGAUGCAGCGACGCCGCGUGAGCGAAGAAGUAUUUCGGUAUGUAAAGCUCUAGCAGCAGGGAAGAUAAUGACGGUACCUGACUAAGAAGCACCGGCUAAAUACGUG